AGAGCGGGGGGGCCAGAAGCCCGGAGGGCGCUGGCAAGGGUGAGAGAGAGGCUGGAGAAGAGGCCAGAACGGGGGGGCCAGAACCAGUCCAGCGAGGGUCUGGCUCUCACUCAGGAUGACAGGAGGCUGCAGAGCGCUGACCUGCACACACUGACCAUCAAACAGCUGGACACUCUGAAGGAAAGACUGAGCCAGGCUGUGCAGGAUCUGAGCUCGGAGCUGGUUGGUUUGCUGUUGUCACGUGACCAACUGAAGACGGAGCAGGAUGCCAUCUUACUGGAGGUGGAGGACUUGACCGCGUUUGCAGAGAACGAACGAACUCACCAGCACAGGAGGACUCCAAGAUGACCAGUGGAACACUGCGUCCUGGUCAGGGGGGGAUCCUCCAGUCAAGCUGAUAUAAAAAAUCUCAGAGCCAGG